rnacentral:rRNA from 1 species
UACGUAGGGUGCGAGCGUUAACCGGAAUUACUGGGCGUAAAGCGUGCGCAGGCGGUUCGUUGUGUCGGCGGUGAAAGCCCCGGGCUCAACCUGGGAAUGGCCGUUGAAACUGGCGAACUGGAGUGUGGCAGAGGGGGGUGGAAUUCCGCGUGUAGCAGUGAAAUGCGUAGAGAUGCGGAGGAACACCGAUGGCGAAGGCAGCCCCCUGGGCUAACACUGACGCUCAGGCACGAAAGCGUGGGGAGCAAACAGG